rnacentral:lncRNA from 1 species
GCAGCCCCCCGCCGCCGCCUCCGCCGCCUCCUCCGCCUCCUCCGCCUCCGCCGCCGGGGCCGUCGCCCUCCGCCCGGAGGAAAUCAAUGGUGGCGGUCCGCGGGGACCCGCUCGGCCGGCCCGCGCGCGCCGCGCCCCACCUGGCGCCCGGGCGUCGCUCCCGCCCGGGAAGAGGGCGCCGGGGGCCGAGCCCUGCGCCGCGCGCGCCCCGAGCCGCCCCGGUCUCUCCCGCCGGACGCUCGGGAAAAUCCUCUCGCGGGCACAGCAACUUGUGGGCGGCGCCCCCGCCCCACGGUGGCGGGUCGCCCUCGGCUUUCCUUCCGUCCUUCCUCCCCGGCCGCGCGGGCUCCGGGCUCCCCGCGGGUGGCGGCCGUCCCGCCGCGCCCUCCUCCGCUCGGCCCGCUCGGCCCUAGACGCGCGGCGGCUCGCAGACGGGCGCCGCGGAGGCCCGGCCGAGGUGAGCCGCGCAGCCCAGCGCCGCGUGCUGCCAAGUGCCGAAGGGGGCCCUCGCUGGCUGCAGUGUUUGGGUUCUCCUCGGUGACUUUCUCAUUUGACAGCAGCGGGUGGGGUGGGGUGGGGGGGCGGGGGCGGGGGCGGAGGAGGGUCCGGGCGCGGCGAGGGAACGCGGGGCGCGGCGUCCCCGGCCGGUCUCGCUGCUCCGGGCAGGGUGGGAGGCUCGCGGGUGGGAGUCGCCCCCGCCCGCGGCCGGCGGGGGGCUUCCGGGGGCAGAUGCCUGCCGCGCCCGCACCUGCCUCGCGGGUCUUCCUCUCCGGCUGCGGUCGACGGAGGAGGCUGGAGGCUGGAGGCUGGAGGCUGGAGCAAGCCCGGGGGCGCUGGGCCUCAGGGGCAAUCCUUCCGGCCGGCCGAGGCGCCGCGUCCCGUAGGCCCCCGGGCCAUGCCGGCUCCGCGGGCUCCGAGCUCCUCCGGGGGCGCCGGCCGAGCCCGGGCGCGGGGGGCGGCGCGGCGGGCCGGGCUCCGGCCGCGUCCCCUCGGGCUGCUCCCGGCCGCCGCCCGGCGCUCGCAACUAACUUCGCCCAAGUUUCCUGCGCCGGCGCCGCCGCCGCCGCCGCCGCCGCCGCCGCCGCCUCCGCCGCGCCCCUGCCGGCGCGCUCGCCUCGCUGCGUGCGCCCGCGUGUGCGCCGCGCCGGGGGCCCCUCUCCGGCUUCUCGGGCCCGGGCCGGGCCGGCGCCGGGCGGAGGUGCAGACGGAGGGGUCUAGGGGAAACGCGCCAUCACCUCUAUUCGCAGGUCCGCGCUGGGGCUGCUCCCGCUUCCCCCACUCCCGUAGCACCGGGGGCCCCUUCCUGGCCCAGGCCGCCACUCCGCCGCUCCCGAGGCGGCCAGAGCCCUGGGCACGGGCUCAGGUUGAGGCGAGCGGAGAGCUAGGAGCGCGCCGCGGAGUCUGCGCACUGUGUGGUGUUGGCAGCCCCUGGUGUCAUCCCGGCUACCCUGGCACUGGUCUCGGCUCUGGCAUCCUCUGCCCGGAGGAAGGAGGCUCGCGGGACGAGGAGAGCCUCUCGAGCUGCGGCAGAAGAGGGGACGCACUCUAG